GCUACGGGAGGCAGCAGUGGGGAAUAUUGGGCAAUGGGCGCAAGCCUGACCCAGCAACGCCGCGUGAAGGAAGAAGGCUUUCGGGUUGUAAACUUCUUUUGACAGGGAAGAGCAGAAGACGGUACCUGUCGAAUAAGCCACGGCGAACUAAGUGACAGCAGGCCGGGUAAUAGGUAGGUGGCAAGCGUUGUCCGGAUUUAGUGGGUGUAAAGGGCGGGUAGCCGGGAUGACAAGUCAGAUGUGAAAUCCGGGGGCUCAACCCCCGAACUGCAUUUGAAACUGUUGGUCUUGAGUAUCGGAGAGGCAGGCGGAAUUCCUGGUGUAGCGGUGAAAUGCGUAGAUAUUAGGAGGAACACCAGUGGCGAAGGCGGCCUGCUGGACGACAACUGACGGUGAGGCGCGAAAGCGUGGGGAGCAAACAGGAUUAGAUACCCUUGUAGUC
rnacentral:rRNA from 1 species